rnacentral:lncRNA from 1 species
ACUCAACCCAUUUUUCCCAUCAAAUCAGUAUCACCCCCAACUUAUUCCAGCAACCAGAUUCAUCAAAUUCCUUCAGAGCACAUCACAAUCAAUAUAUAAACAGGAAUCAUUCCAAAGAUCAUCAUUUCAGUCAAAUUAGGCGCAUACUAAGUUAAACACUUAAGGACAGUAACAACACAUGCUCACAAUAUAUCACAUAUUUAAUUCAACAUGCAUAAUCACUCAAAACAGAUUCAUC